GCCCGUGUGGCUCAGUUGGUAGAACAUGGUGUUUGCAACGCCAGGGUUGUGGGUUCAAUUCCCAGUACGGAGA
rnacentral:tRNA from 1 species